GCUGAUUCCACGUUUCUGACAUCAGAAGUCUGUACCGCUACUGGCGUACGUUUACCGCAUUACACGUCUGACCAUCUGCUUCUUCAGGAUGCAAUAUUGACAGACGAGAUAAGGAGCUCAUCUUGUUAAUAUUCUCACGCCCGUUGAUGAGGUAUAAAUAGUGCACCGAUCGCUAAUUGUCGUAUUCAGUGCCGUCUGGAGAUUUAAUCAGCACGAUGCCUAAACUAAUAGUGGUGGUAGCUCUCGCGCUUUUCUGCUUCGGAGCAAGCUUAUCGGCUUCCGCCGGGGAGGGAACCCCUUGUGGAGCCAAGUGUCCAUCUGGUUUCAAAAUAACAUCGUGUCCGCCCAACGAAGUGUUCAAAUGCUGUGCGGGAUGCGUGCAGCCGACCUGCGGACAAAGAGAUACCAACCACAUCCAGUGUUUCCGUUGCCCAGAUGAGUGUAUCUGCAAGCCCGGUUAUAUUCGACUGGAUGACCAGAAGCCUUGUGUACCGCUGGAACAAUGUCCCUGAUAGGAACGAAACUGUUUUGUACAUUCCGAUAAAAUAAAAUUGAAUCGUAAUUGAA